GUUGAAACACCGGUUUCUGUAUGAUCGCUGAAGUUAAGCAAUGUCAAGCUUAGUCAGUACCUAGAUGGUUGACCACUUGGGAAUACCAGGUGCUGUAAG